GAAUUUUAUAUGUCGAAUAAAUAAAGUUUAUUUUGGUAUAUUUUAUUGGGAGGAUAUUUAAAUUAAUAAAACUUUAAUAAUAGGUUUUACAUAAAUUAAUGAUUAAAAUAAUGAAUGAAUGUAAUUUAUAUAAAGAAUUAAUUACCUUAGGGAUAACAGCAUGAUAUUUUUUUGUAGUUCAUAUAUAAAAAAAUGUUUAU
rnacentral:rRNA from 3 species